AUUGAACGCUGGCGGCAUGCCUUACACAUGCAAGUCGAACGGCAGCGGGGACUUCGGUCCGCCGGCGAGUGGCGAACGGGUGAGUAAUGCAUCGGAACGUACCCGGAAGUGGGGGAUAACGUAGCGAAAGUUACGCUAAUACCGCAUAUUCUGUGAGCAGGAAAGAGGGGGAUCUUCGGACCUCUUGCUUUCGGAGCGGCCGAUGUCAGAUUAGCUAGUUGGUGAGGUAAAGGCUCACCAAGGCGACGAUCUGUAGCGGGUCUGAGAGGAUGAUCCGCCACACUGGAACUGAGACACGGUCCAGACUCCUACGGGAGGCAGCAGUGGGGAAUUUUGGACAAUGGGCGCAAGCCUGAUCCAGCCAUGCCGCGUGAGUGAAGAAGGCCUUCGGGUUGUAAAGCUCUUUCGGCCGGGAAGAAAUCGCAUGGAUUAAUACUCUGUGCGGAUGACGGUACCGGCAUAAGAAGCACCGGCUAACUACGUGCCAGCCGCCGCCGUAACAC
rnacentral:rRNA from 1 species